rnacentral:lncRNA from 1 species
AAAUCUGUAAUGUAAUUAUAUGUGCUAAUCCGUCGAAAAGUAUUUUUGAUUAUAUAGCAGUAUUAUUUAUUUUUCGUUUUAAUUUUAUAUACGCGUUUUGUAUUUAGGAAAAAAUAAACCCAAAAAGGAAUCAACAAACCCAGAUUGAAGCCGAGAAAAGGGAGAAAAUUCAGGGAAAUCAACUCGCCUGAUUUUUGUAUAAAAUGAGAACAAAUAUACUCUGUAGAGCAGAGUAAGCAUAGAACCCAAGGCAGUGAAUUUUAUAGGUAAUAAAUUUAUGGCCUCUGGAAUUAGAACCUUGUUCUUCC